rnacentral:rRNA from 1 species
UACGAAGGGGGCUAGCGUUGCUCGGAAUCACUGGGCGUAAAGGGUGCGUAGGCGGAUCUUUAAGUCAGGGGUGAAAUCCUGGAGCUCAACUCCAGAACUGCCUUUGAUACUGAGGAUCUCGAGUUCGGGAGAGGUGAGUGGAACUGCGAGUGUAGAGGUGAAAUUCGUAGAUAUUCGCAAGAACACCAGUGGCGAAGGCGGCUC